AUUGAACGCUGGCGGCAGGCUUAACACAUGCAAGUCGAGCGGAGAUGAGGUGCUUGCACCUUAUCUUAGCGGCGGACGGGUGAGUAAUGCUUAGGAAUCUGCCUAUUAGUGGGGGACAACAUUCCGAAAGGAAUGCUAAUACCGCAUACGUCCUACGGGAGAGAGCAGGGGAUCUUCGGACCUUGCGCUAAUAGAUGAGCCUAAGUCGGAUUAGCUAGUUGGUGGGGUAAAGGCCUACCAAGGCGACGAUCUGUAGCGGGUCUGAGAGGAUGAUCCGCCACACUGGGACUGAGAAACGGCCCAGACUCCUACGGGAGGCAGCAGUGGGGAAUAUUGGACAAUGGGGGGAACCCUGAUCCAGCCAUGCCGCGUGUGUGAAGAAGGCCUUAUGGUUGUAAAGCACUUUAAGCGAGGAGGAGGCUACUGAGACUAAUACUCUUGGAUAGUGGACGUUACUCGCAGAAUAAGCACCGGCUAACUCUGUGCCAGCAGCCGCCGUAACAC
rnacentral:rRNA from 1 species